rnacentral:rRNA from 1 species
UACGUAGGGUGCAAGCGUUGUCCGGAAUUAUUGGGCGUAAAGAGCUCGUAGGCGGUUUGUCGCGUCUGCUGUGAAAACCCGAGGCUCAACCUCGGGCCUGCAGUGGGUACGGGCAGACUAGAGUGCGGUAGGGGAGAUUGGAAUUACCGGUGUAGCGGUGAAAUGCGUAGAGAUCGGUAGGAACACCAGUGGCGAAGGCGGUCUCCUGGAGCAUACUUGACGCUGAGGCGCGAAAGCUGGGGGAGCAAACAGG